rnacentral:rRNA from 1 species
AUUGAACGCUGGCGGCAGGCCUAACACAUGCAAGUCGAACGAGUGGCGGACGGGUGAGUAAUGUCUGGGAAACUGCCUGAUGGAGGGGGAUAACUACUGGAAACGGUAGCUAAUACCGCAUACCAUCGGAUGUGCCCAGAUGGGAUUAGCUAGUAGGUGGGGUAACGGCUCACCUAGGCGACGAUCCCUAGCUGGUCUGAGGGGAUGACCAGCCACACUGGAACUGAGACAGGGCCCAAACUCCUACGGGGGGCAGCAGUGGGGAAUAUUGGAAAAUGGGCGAAAGCCUUAUGCAGCCAUGCCGCGUGUAUGAAGAAGGCCUUCGGGUGGUAAAGUACUUUCAGCGGGGAGGCGUUACCCGCAGAAGAAGCACCGGCUAACUCCGUGCCAGCCGCCGCGGUAAUUC